rnacentral:misc_RNA from 1 species
ACGUGAAUCUUGUCUUUGUUCAACGGGUACAGAGAAUGGACGUAUGAAAUAUUUUUUAAAUUAUGUAUACAAGCCGCAAGAUACAUAUAAAUGACUUUCUCUGAGAGCUACGAAGCAUGUUAUAAGAAGGCCUUCGGUGCAACGCGUUUAUAUGGCACAAUAUUGUAGUGCCCCGAAGUGGUGGCCGAGCGAACUGGAAUUAUCAAAUAAUCGACAAUUUUUCGGGCAGGAGGCGAUCACUUUGCAAAAAUAUAAGAACCAUUUUCGGACCUCGAUUGUUCAAGAUUUUCCGAAAGACAGAAGAAAAAAAAAAAGAAAAAAAAAACAACAACAA